AUGGAACUCUGGAGGUUCUUGGCUAGAAUGGUUCUUGGUUCUGGAUAUGUUACUACUUUAGCCUAUCUUUUCUGUUUGUUCUACAAUUUUUUGGAGUGCAAAAUCGGCAGCGUUAAACUCUGGAAACAGAAAAUGGCUUGGAUGUCUCACCAGCCUUGCCGCUUCUACAUCAUUGAUGGAUCUUGCAAGUAUGGUUCAGGCUGUUUGUUCUCUCAUGGACUUGACUUAUUUGGGAGGAUAGAGAUGCAAAUCAGGGCACUUCUGCAUGAGCCGGAUGUAUAUCAAGUUCCAGUAGAGCAUUUGCCGUGGAGUCGCCAUGAGUUGGGUAUACUGCUUCGGCAAGUGGGAUGGGAUGAGACUCUUGAUCACCUAAUGAGUUUGCUCGAGUGUCUUCAUACUAUUUGUGUGGUUUAUAACAGCUAUGGAUAUUAUGCAAUCCUGUUGGAGAAUGUUUCACGCUACCUGGGUUACUUACCUUACAAUCCAAAUGUGAUGGAUGCCGACAGUGAAGUUCACCAGAUUUAUAUUAACUUCUCUGCUCAAAGUAGAGAAAUAUGCACUGAAGAAAAUGUUCGUAUCUAUUUCAGCCAUUAUGGGGAAGUCUUUUCUGUAUAUAUUCCGCGUGAAAGGUCAUAUGGUUUUGUGAGAUUCCAGUACCCUGAGACAGUGAGGCUGCUUUUAUUAAACUGGAAUCAUCUGGUCCCUCACUUCAUCUUCGGAGCAGGACUUUAUGUGAGCCCCUAUAUCUCCAACAAUCGGAGGAACCCUGCUGAGAAUCAUGGGCCGAAUGGCCUGGAUGGAGGGCCAGGACAUGUGCCAAAUGCCCUGGGUGGAGUGCCAGGAUAA
rnacentral:rRNA from 1 species